rnacentral:rRNA from 1 species
CCCAGACUCCUACGGGAGGCAGCAGUGGGGGAUAUUGCACAAUGGGGGAGACCCUGAUGCAGCAACGCCGCGUGAGUGAAGAAGUAUUUCGGUAUGUAAAGCUCUAUCAGCAGGGAAGAGAAUGACGGUACCUGACUAAGAAGCCCCGGCUAACUACGUGCCAGCAGCCGCGGUAAUACGUAGGGGGCGAGCGUUAUCCGGAUUUACUGGGUGUAAAGGGGGCGCAGACGGCAGCGCAAGCCAGGAGUGAAAGCCCGGGGCCCAACCCCGGGACUGCUCUUGGAACUGCGCGGCUGGAGUGCAGGAGGGGCAGGCGGAAUUCCUGGUGUAGCGGUGAAAUGCGUAGAUAUCAGGAGGAACACCGGCGGCGAAGGCGGCCUGCUGGACCGUGACUGACGUUGAGGCUCGAGAGCGUGGGGAGCAAACAGGAUUAGAUACCCCCGUAGGU